GACGAACGCUGGCGGCGUGCUUAACACAUGCAAGUCGAACGGAAAGGCCCUGCUUUUGUGGGGUGCUCGAGUGGCGAACGGGUGAGUAACACGUGAGUAGCCUGCCCUUGACUUUGGGAUAACUUCAGGAAACUGGGGCUAAUACCGGAUAGGAGCUCCUGCUGCAUGGUUGGGGUUGGAAAGUUUCGGCGGUUGGGGAUGGACUCGCGGCUUAUCAGCUUGUUGGUGGGGUAGUGGCUUACCAAGGCUUUGACGGGUAGCCGGCCUGAGAGGGUGACAGGCCACAUUGGGACUGAGAUACGGCCCAGACUCAUACGGGAGGCAGCAGUGGGGAAUAUUGCACAAUGGGCGGAAGCAUGAUGCAGCAACGCCGCGUGCGGGAUGACGGCCUUCGGGUUGGAAACCGCUUUAGCCUGGGACGAAGCGUGAGUGACGGUAAUGGGUAAAGAAGCACCGGCUAACUACGUG
rnacentral:rRNA from 1 species